UACGUAGGGUGCAAGCGUUGUCCGGAAUUAUUGGGCGUAAAGAGCUCGUAGGCGGUUUGUCGCGUCUGCUGUGAAAACCCGAGGCUCAACCUCGGGCCUGCAGUGGGUACGGGCAGACUAGAGUGCGGUAGGGGAGAUUGGAAUUCCUGGUGUAGCGGUGGAAUGCGCAGAUAUCAGGAGGAACACCAAUGGCGAAGGCAGAUCUCUGGGCCGUAACUGACGCUGAGGAGCGAAAGUGUGGGGAGCAAACGGG
rnacentral:rRNA from 1 species